rnacentral:rRNA from 1 species
GACGAACGCUGGCGGCGUGCUUAACACAUGCAAGUCGAACGGAAAGGCCCUGCUUGCCGGGUACUCGAGUGGCGAACGGGUGGGUAACACGUGGGUGAUCUGCCCUGCACUUCGGGAUAAGCCUGGGAAACUGGGUCUAAUACCGGAUAGGAGCCAUUUUUAGUGUGAUGGUUGGAAAGUUUUUUCGGUGUAGGAUGAGCUCGCGGCCUAUCAGCUUGUUGGUGGGGUAAUGGCCUACCAAGGCGGCGACAGGUAGCCGGCCUGAGAGGGUGGACGGCCACAUUGGGACUGAGAUACGGCCCAGACUCCUACGGGAGGCAGCAGUGGGGAAUAUUGCACAAUGGGCGCAAGCCUGAUGCAGCGACGCCGCGUGGGGGAUGACGGCCUUCGGGUUGUAAACGCCUUUCGCUAGGGACGAAGCUUUUUGUGACGGUACCUAGAGAAGAAGCACCGGCUAACUACGUG